rnacentral:rRNA from 1 species
CAUGCAAGUCGAACGAGGAUAUAUCCUUCGGGGUAUAAGCCGAGUGGCACAAGGGUGAGCAAUGCAUAGAUUACCUACCUUUAGGAUAAGGACAACUUUGUGAAAACGGAGCUAAUACUUAAUAAUACAAAUGAAAGUAAUUUUCUUUUGUCAAAGGGAGGGUAGCAAUACCUUUCGCCUAGAGAGGGGUUUAUGUCCUAUCAGCUUGUUGGUGGGGUAAUAGCCUACCAAGGCGAAGACGGGUAGCCGGUUUAAGAGGAUGGUCGGCCACACUGGGACUGAGACACUGCCCAGACUUCUACGGAAGGCUGCAGUCGAGAAUCUUUCGCAAUGCCCGAAAGGGUGACGAAGCGACGCCGCGUGGGUGAAGAAGGCCUUCGGGUUGUAAAACCCUGUCAGGAGUUAUGAAAUGUAAGUGCGCUAAUAUCGUGCUUAUUUGGCAAAGGCUCCAAAGGAAGCCACGGCUAACUCUGUGCCAGCAGCCGCGGUAAUACAGAGGUGGCGAGCGUUGUUCGGAAUUAUUGGGCGUAAAGGGCACGUAGGUGGGUUUGCAAGUCAGAUGUGAAAGCCUUCUGUUCAACGGGAGAAUUGCAUCUGAAACUGCUAAUCUUGAGUAUAGGAGGGGAGAAUGGAACUUCUGGUGGAGCGGUGAAAUGCGUAGAUAUCAGAAGGAACGCCGGCGGCGAAAGCGAUUCUCUGGCCUAUUACUGACUCUCAGUGUGCGAAAGCUAGGGGAGCAAACGGGAUUAGAUACCCCGGUAGUCCUAGCCGUAAACGAUGGGCACUAAGUAGAGGGGAUUACCUAUGUUCUCUCUGCCGUAGCUAACGCAUUAAGUGCCCCGCCUGGGGAGUACGGCCGCAAGGCUAAAACUCAAAAGAAUUGACGGGGGCUCGCACAAGCGGUGGAGCAUGUGGCUUAAUUCGAUGCAACGCGAAAAACCUUACCGGGGUUUGACAUGAUAGAAGUAGGAACCUGAAAGGGGGACGAACGGUAUCCAGUCCGUAGCUAUUACAGGUGUUGCAUGGCUGUUGUCAGCUCGUGUCGUGAGACGUUGGGUUAAGUCCCCUAACGAGCGAAACCCUUGUUUUUAGUUACCAGCGGGUUAUGCCGGGUACUCUAGAAAGACUGCCGCCGUCAAGACGGAGGAAGGUGGGGAUGACGUCAAGUCAUCAUGGCCCUUAUGCCCCGGGCUGCACACGUGCUACAAUGGUCGGUACAGACGGAAGCGAAGCCGAGAGGUGAAGCGAAUCCUAAAAAGCCGAUCUCAGUUCGGAUUGGAGGCUGAAAUUCGCCUCCAUGAAGUUGGAAUCGCUAGUAAUCGCGGAUCAGCAAUGUCGCGGUGAAUAUGUUCCCGAGCCUUGUACACACCGCCCGUCAAGCCACCCAAGCAGGAUGCACCCGAAAACAUUAUAUCUAACCAGGGCAACUUGGAGGAAAAUGUUGAAGGAGUGUUUUGUGAGGAGGACUAAGUCGUAACAAGGUAGUCGUAGGAGAACCUGCGGCUGGAUCACCUCCUUUCU